AAGUCAUAACAAGGUUUCCGUGCGGAAGGAUCAUUAACACGUAUCCAACGUUAAACAACCCUGGAACUUUCAACGCUCUUGUAACCAGGCGGAACAGCAAUCCCGGUAAAUCAGUGGGCGGAAGUUUUGAUUCGGGACCUCUGUCCAAAAGUUACAAUCGAGCUAGGAGCAGUGGCAUGGUUUCACUAAGCAGUGCAGAAGGAUCCACUGAGUAAGGAUAACGCAUCACGGUUGCCAGAGGUCGAUCACCGGCCGGCAGACAUGUCACAGGGCUAGAUGCCCCUUCAUUCACGCCGGAAACGCCGGGCACAAAAACCGAACAACUGUUAACAAUGGAUAUCUUGGUUCUC
rnacentral:misc_RNA from 1 species